rnacentral:rRNA from 1 species
GGAUCUGCCCGAUAGAGGGGGAUAACCACUGGAAACGGUGGCUAAUACCGCAUAACGUCGCAAGACCAAAGAGGGGGACCUUCGGGCCUCUCACUAUCGGAUGAACCCAGAUGGGAUUAGCUAGUAGGCGGGGUAACGGCCCACCUAGGCGACGAUCCCUAGCUGGUCUGAGAGGAUGACCAGCCACACUGGAACUGAGACACGGUCCAGACUCCUACGGGAGGCAGCAGUGGGGAAUAUUGCACAAUGGGCGCAAGCCUGAUGCAGCCAUGCCGCGUGUAUGAAGAAGGCCUUCGGGUUGUAAAGUACUUUCAGCGGGGAGGAAGGCAAUGAGGUUAAUAACCUUACUGAUUGACGUUACCCGCAGAAGAAGCACCGGCUAACUCCGUGCCAGCAGCCGCGGUAAUACGGAGGGUGCAAGCGUUAAUCGGAAUUACUGGGCGUAAAGCGCACGCAGGCGGUCUGUUAAGUCAGAUGUGAAAUCCCCGGGCUUAACCUGGGAACUGCAUUUGAAACUGGCAGGCUUGAGUCUCGUAGAGGGGGGUAGAAUUCCAGGUGUAGCGGUGAAAUGCGUAGAGAUCUGGAGGAAUACCGGUGGCGAAGGCGGCCCCCUGGACGAAGACUGACGCUCAGGUGCGAA